AACGAACGCAGGCGGCAGGCUUAACACAUGCAAGUCGAACGCCCCGCAAUGGGAGGGCCAGACGGGAGAGCAACGCGUGGGUAUCUACGUACUUCUCCGGAACAACACAGGGAAACUUGUGCUAAUACCGUAUAAGCGCUACGGGGGACAGGUGUAUCGGAAUUAGAUGAGCCCGCGUAAGAUUAGCUGGUUGGUGGGGGAAGGGCCUACCAAGGCGAGGAUCUUUAGCUGGUCUGAGAGGAUGAUCAGCCACACUGGGAAUGAGACACGGCCCAGACUCCUACGGGAGGCAGCAGUGGGGAAUAUUGGACAAUGGGCGGAAGCCUGAUCCAGCCAUGCCGCGUGAGUGAUGAAGGCCUUAGGGUUGUAAAGCUCUUUCAGUAGGGAAGAUAAUGACGGUACCUACAGAAGAAGCCCCGGCUAACUUCGUGCCAGCCGCCGCCGUAACAC
rnacentral:rRNA from 1 species